UACGUAGGUGGCAAGCGUUGUCCGGAUUUACUGGGCGUAAAGAGCGCGUAGGCGGUUUGGUAAGUCUGUGGUGAAAUCUCUCGGCUCAACCGGGAGGGGUCUGCAGAUACUGCCGGGCUUGAGUGCCGCAGAGGAAGAUGGAAUUCCCGGUGUAGUGGUGAAAUGCGUAGAUAUCGGGAGGAACACCAGUGGCGAAGGCGGUCUUCUGGGCGGUAACUGACGCUGAGGCGCGAAAGCGUGGGGAGCGAACCGG
rnacentral:rRNA from 1 species